UUAUUUGUAUUUUAUUUUUACAAAGAGCUAUGUUCCUCGGUAAAAGAAACAAGGCAAUAAAGUUAGCGUAAGGCGCAAAAGAAAGCGCUUUUUUUCUUUUGUGAAACACACCAUAUAUAAAAGUAAUACAUAAAGAAGAGAAAGCAUAGUCGAAGAGGAAAUAUGGAAAUAAAAAGACUCUUUAACACAAGAAAAUUUUGCAUUUAGGCUUCAUAAAUUUGAUUGUUUAUUUAAUAAAGAAGGACAACCCUAAUUAUUACUAUAUUUUUAAAAAUAACAAAAAAAGCCCCAAGGCCCGGGCCAGUGCUUAAAGCCGGGAGGGCUUUUUAAAACACUGGACAUAUAAUAUGUUGAAAUGCAUGUGAGAACUGUAUCACAAAGUGUCAAAUCCAUUCCUACCCCCCAAAGGGCAUCUGCAAUAAGAUAUUAGAUUUUCAUGUUUGCAUCCCAAUAUGCCAGCGACAUUCUUCUUGCACUCUAUUCAUCAGACGCAUGUGUUCUUUUUCAUUGUAACUUGGGAAAUGUCUGUACGUAGGUCUUUUUGAUCAAAUCAUACAUUGUGCUGAAAAUGUUGACAUCGUUGAAUUAUUCAAGCAUCUCCAUUCAAAGGUAAUGCUAGGUUUGCCCAUGCUAGAAGGAACCAAUCCUGCUUCAUGCUUUCCAUGUAGUGCUAUUGGUUAUGAAGCUGCCUGCUACAGUCGUAUAUGGAGUGAGGUUUUUUCUGCUGAUAUUUUUUUCUCAAAGUUUCGCGGUAAUCUUUUGAACCAAUAUAUUGGCUUGCAGUUCAGAAACAAGGU